GGGGGCGACUGGUUUCGACAUAUCGGUUUUGAAAAGGGAAGCAGGCCGUGGUCUCCUCGCCACGUAAAACAGGGGUACCGUCAAAUUUACUUGACAACAAGCAGUAUGCUCUCGCUGCCUGAUUAGUGUAGCGACGUCGACUUGAUGUGUUUCCCCGCCAUCAACAAGACGCAACUAAGGGGAAUGCUCCGCGUCUGAUUGUUGGCUAAGUCGCGGCAAAGCCAGGCCAACUGGAACCUGAGACGCCCGUUUGUGAGCCAUCCCAGGUUUAAGAUUUGAUCGCAAACUGAGCCUGGAGAUGCCCUUUGAGAAGCUCCUAUGGACCGGAGUUCGAUUCUCCGCGCCUCCACCA
rnacentral:tmRNA from 1 species